CAGCCUUAUCCAUCCCAACGGAGAGAGAGAAAACAUACUUUUCUCCGCCUUUUCACUACUCUCUUAGUCUCUCUCUCAUUCUCCCUCACCUUGUUUACAAUAUGGAGAUGGUGUUCUCAAUUCUUAUAAUGCUAAAUCUCAAAGGGUGUAGCUGUGUUUUUUUUUCUUGUCCUUCUCUCGAUCUCCUCCACAGUUUCUCCGAUCUCCUUAUUUUCAUCUCUCUAUUAAGAACCAGAAAGAAAAACCAUUUCUUCUUGUACCCUUCUUCAUCUCUACAGAUCCAUUUGAUAAUUACUAAACCAAAUCGACCUUCAUCAACCUAAGAAUUAACUCUAUGAACCAGAAAGAAAGACCCUACCAUGAAAUCUAAAACCAUUUCUUUGAAACCCUUACCUUGUAAACAAACCCAUUUUAUGUUGUUCUUUAACCAAUUUCAUGUUUGAAAAAAACCCAUUAUUUUUUCUUCACCAAUUCCUUUUCGUGUUAGCAGUUAGGGAUUUGGUUUUCUACAAAUAUCGGGUUAAACGUUAGGGUUUGCAAUUUAAUUUUUCUUUAUUUUUCAUCUUUGAAGUUAAGGUUUGAUUUUGUUGACAGGGUUUUAAUUUAUCAUUCGUUUUCUUCUAUUGUAGCAAUUGCUAGAAGAAUAUUCAACAUCUCCACCUGCAUUUUUUUUUUUUUUGAAGAUCUUCAGUCUUCAAGGGAUGUAUGAGAUGAAAGAAGAACCACUGGUGGUGGUAAAUGGGCGUAUUGAAGAAACCGUUGGCGGUGAUGGUAACUAGAUCGCUGGUGGUGGUGGAGGUUGUAUGGACUGAACUGGCGGUGGUGAAUGGAUACUUGGAGAGGGAAUCAACGAGUUCGAUAAAGUGAUGGUAACUAGCUCGCUGCUAGUGGUGGAGGUUGUAUGAACAGAACUGGUGGUCGUGAAUCGGUAAUUGGAGAGCGAGAUCAAGGUCUUUUCCGCUUGUAGUUUGUUGGAGCCCAUGAAAAAGACUGCGUCUCAAAGUAACAUUGAAGAUGGACUACAUGGGUUUCGAGUGUAAACAGAAAGAAAUAUAGGUGAUUCCGUCGUAUAUUCGUAUAGAUUAAACUACAAUUCUGCACUUGGUACGUAAGAGUUAAUACUUGGCUAGGUGAUACGUUAAUGCUUUUAAUUUGGUUGAAAGAAUCAUGAAUCGUGAUGUGAUCUAAGAUCUGUGGUACCUUUGAUUGGCAGUCUGAGAGUAAUUUUAAGUUUCAUUGUACAUGAUAUAAUCAUAUAAGUUUUAUGUCACUUGUCUUUUUAGAAUUUGGAGAGAAAAUAUUAAUGCUUGUAAUGUUCGAAAUUUUAUCGAUGUGAUAUCAUAUGGUA